AGAGUUUGAUCAUGGCUCAGAUUGAACGCUGGCGGCAUGCUUUACACAUGCAAGUCGAACGGCAGCACGGGGGCAACCCUGGUGGCGAGUGGCGAACGGGUGAGUAACACAUCGGAACGUGUCCAGUUGUGGGGGAUAACCCAUCGAAAGGUGGGCUAAUACCGCAUGAUCUGGCAACAGCAAAGCAGGGGACCGCAAGGCCUUGUGCGAUUGGAGCGGCCGAUGUCCGAUUAGCUAGUUGGUGGGGUAAAGGCCCACCAAGGCGACGAUCGGUAGCUGGUCUGAGAGGAUGAUCAGCCACACUGGGACUGAGACACGGCCCAGACUCCUACGGGAGGCAGCAGUGGGGAAUUUUGGACAAUGGGGGCAACCCUGAUCCAGCCAUGCCGCGUGAGUGAAGAAGGCCUUCGGGUUGUAAAGCUCUUUCGGUGGGAACGAAACGGUUACGGCUAACACCUGUGACUAAUGACGGUACUCACAGAAGAAGCACCGGCUAACUACGUGCCAGCAGCCGCGGUAAUACGUAGGGUGCGAGCGUUAAUCGGAAUUACUGGGCGUAAAGCGUGCGCAGGCGGUUACUUAAGUCAGGUGUGAAAGCCCUGGGCUUAACCUAGGAAUUGCGCUUGAGACUGGGUAGCUUGGAGUGUGGCAGAGGGAGGUGGAAUUCCACGUGUAGCAGUGAAAUGCGUAGAGAUGUGGAGGAACACCGAUGGCGAAGGCAGCCUCCUGGGCCAGCACUGACGCUCAUGCACGAAAGCGUGGGGAGCAAACAGGAUUAGAUACCCUAGUAGUCC
rnacentral:rRNA from 1 species